rnacentral:rRNA from 1 species
AUAAAAAACCAAUGCCCUUCGGGGCUCCUUGGUGAUUCAUAAUAACUUAACGAAUCGCAUGGCCUUGUGCCGGCGAUGGUUCAUUCAAAUUUCUGCCCUAUCAACUUUCGAUGGUAGAGUAGUGGUCUACCAUGGUUU